CAUUUAUUUUUUACAGAAACAGGGCUUCAAGUUGUUCCACUAAUUACUGGUAUAAAGAGGACAGUAAUGAAUGUGUUGUGUGCAAUCAAGGAUAUUUUGGUCCCAACUGUACAGAGCUGUGUCCAUUUCCAUUUUACGGAGUAGUUUGUGCUCAAAAAUGCAACUGCUCUUUCGACGACUGUAACUACGCUACAGGAUGCCCAGUGCUACAAACUGAAACUAAUGGGACAACGUCUUCCAGUGCGGAACGUGAUACGUUUAACCGGAAACGUCUAAAUAUUCGCAUAGGUGUGUUUGUCUUUGGUGGUAUUCUUCUUGUUAUUGUUCUGCUCUUCCUUUUGAUUGAAUUGCUUCGAAGGACAAGACGAAGUGUCGUUGAACAACAAAUAUACACUGAAAAUGGACCAGCGUAUGAGGAAAUUCAAAUCAAUGAAGAGCAUCCGUGUUAAAAUAUAAUGUGACCCAUGCAGAAAAUCGCAAAAGAGAAAAAAAAAGAAUUUGUUAAUAAUGAUACGCGAAAUUUCGAGAAAAAGAAGGUUAAAAAGAUGACUAAAAAGAAUUAUAGUAACUGACUCCAGUUAUUAGACAAUACAUUCAAAAAAGUCUUACACAAACGUGUUAUUUGAAUUUUUUUUAAAAAAAUGGAAAAGUCAAUUAACCACUGCUGUGUAGGGUAAUCCAUUGCCCUGAAAGUACUUUACAGACAAAACUAUCUAUUUUAUAGAUAUUUCAAGAGGGAUAUGGAGGUUUCCAAUCUCAAAUUCCAUAACCGAUACAAAAUAGGAGCAGAGCAAAUACGGACCUCCAAAACAUCAAAGGUGAGAUCAGGCGUUAUGGAGGAUUGAACAUCCCCUGCUGUUCCGUCACACGCGCUGUGUGCUAAAUUAUUUCAGGAAAUCCUACAAAUGCUUUAAAAAAACCUAGCGUUGUAAACAAGCUGCUUUUGGUACAUGU